AAAAAAGAUAGUAAGGGCACAUGGUGAAUGCCUUGGGAUUUUGAGACGAAGAAGGACGUACCAGUCUGCGAUAAGCCUCGACAAGCUGACAAGAAGCGUUAUAGUCGGGGAUUUCCGAAUGGGGAAACCCUGUACGGUAAAACCGUAUGAUCUUGUGUUUACACAAGAAGACGACCUAGGGAACUGAAACAUCUUAGUACCUAGAGGAAAAGAAAACAAAAGUAAUUCCCUUAGUAGUGGCGAGCGAAACGGGAGAAGCCCAAACCUCACUUCGGUGGGGGGUUGUAGGACCUUUACGUCAUUUAUGACGGCGGAUGUUUCGUAAGAAACACCGUAUACGGUUCGGUUAGUUUAUAGAAGAACACCACUGGAAAGUGGGACCAUAGAAAGUAAUAGUCUUGUAUUUGAAAUAAACGUACCGAGCUAAAAGUGUUCCUGAGUACCAUGAAACACGAAAAUUUUGUGGGAAUCCGCCAGGACCAUCUGGCAAGGCUAAAUACUCAAAAUCACCGAUAGUGAACAAGUACCGUGAGGGAAAGGUGAAAAGUACCCCGAUAAGGGGAGUGAAAUAGUAUCUGAAACCAUGUGCUUACAAUCAGACAAAGCCUCGAUUCGUCGGGGUGAUGUCGUGCCUAUUGAAGAAUGAGCCUGCGAGUUUUCAACAGUAGCAAGGUUAAGCCAUUAAGUGGCGUAGCCAAAGGGAAACCGAAUCGUGUUAAUAGCGCGUAUGAGUUUCUGUUGAAAGACCCGAAGCCGAGUGAGCUAACCAUGAGCAGGAUGAACCCCGAGUAAAAUCGGGGGAAGGUUCGAACCGGUGUACGAUGCAAAGUGCUCGGAUGACUUGUGGUUAGUGGUGAAAUGCCUAUCGAACUCGGCGAUAGCUGGUUCUCCCCGAAAUAUAUUUAGGUAUAGCCCUUGGUUAUAGCUUGCUGGAGGUAGAGAUACUGAAAGGAAUGCGGGUCGAAAGACUACAAAUUCCUACCAAACUCCGAAUGCCAGCAAUGCGUUACCAUGGAGUCAGUCCCUGGGAGCUAAGUUCCAGGGUCAAAAGGGAAACAACCCAGACCGUCGGUUAAGGUCCCCAAUUUUUGCUCAGUGGGAAAGGAAGUGUUACUCCUCAGACAAUUAGGAGGUUGGCUUAGAAGCAGCCAUCCUUUAAAGAGUGCGUAAUAGCUCACUACUUGAAGCAGGGGGGUUUAUGAUCAUGAUUAGUUUGUACAUUAAACUUUAAAUUAUGUUUUAGUUUAAUCGUGUUUAUAAAUCCCUCCUGCGUGGAGUAAUGCGCCGAAGAUUUAACGGGGCUCAAGCAAAAAACCGAAACCGCGGAUCCACUUUUGUGGAUGGUAGGGGAGCGUUGUAGAAACCUGUGAAGGUGUGUUGUGAAGCAUGCUGGAGGAACUACAAGUGAGAAUGCAGGUAUAAGUAGCGAUAGCCGGGUGAGAAACCCGGUCACCGAAUGUCUAAGGUUUCCUAUGCAAUGAUAAUCAGCGUAGGGUUAGUCGGUCCUAAGGCGUAGCCAAAUGGUGAAGUCGAUGGACGAACGGUUAAUAUUCCGUUACUUUAGUUGUUUUGUGAUGGAGGGACGCAGUUUGAUAAAUCGAGCGCCUGAAUGGUUGGGCGUCUAAGCAGUGAACUUCGGAAUGUUGGUAAAUCCGCAUUCCCCAACGGUGAACUGUGGGCGAAGGCUUCGGCAUAAGUCGAUUUCGUUAAGCUGUCUGGAAAAGCUUCUAAACAAUAAGACAAUUGAAUCCGUACCAAAACCGAUACAGGUAGACUGGUAGAGAAUACUAAGGUGAUUGAGAGAACUAUGCUUGAGGAAUUCGGCAAAAUAAGGGCGUAACUUCGGAAGAAGCCCUCCCCCAAGCAAUUGGGGGCGCAGAGAAUCGGCCUGAGCGACUGUUUAACAAAAACACAGCACCCUGCUUAACCCGUAAGGGGAUGUAUAGGGUGUGACGCUUGCCCGGUGCCAGAAGGUCAAAUUUGAAGGUGACGUUCAUUGUAAGAUGGAAACAGCUUUCGGGCUAAGCCCUGGUAAACGGCAGCAGUAACUAUAACUGUUCUAAGGUAGCGAAAUUCCUUGACAUCUAAUUAGUGUCCCGCACGAAAAGCGUAACGACUUGGGCACUCUCUUAAGCAUAGACUCAGCGAAUUUGAAUUGGCCGUGAAGAUGCGGCCUACCCGCUGUGGGACGGAAAGACCCCAUGGAGUUUUACUGUAGGUUGAUACUGGCAAGUCCUUUUGAAUGUUCAGUGUAGGAGGGAGCCUUGAUCGCAAGAUUGGGGCACCAAUGAGACACCUCCCUUUUAAAAGUAUGAGCCUAACUCGUUUUACGAGAACAAUGUCUGCCGGGCAGUUUGACUGGGGCGGUCUCCUGCAAAAGAGUAACGCAGGAGCACAAAGGUUCACUUACUCCGGAUGGAAAUCGGAGUGUAAGCGUAAAGGUAUAAGUGAGCUUAACUGUGAGAACUACAAUUCGAGCAGAUGCGAAAGCAGGUCUUAAUGACCCUCAGGUUGAACAUGGGUUCGCCUGAGCCAUCGGAUAAAAAUUACCCUGGGGAUAACAGAGUAAUGGCUCCCAAUAGUCCAUAUUGCCGGAGCCGUUUGCUACCUCGAUGUCGGCUUGUCUCAUCCUGGCGCUGAAGCAGGUGCCAAGGGUUGGGCUGUUCGCCCAUUAAAGAGGCGCACUAGCUGGGUUCAGAGCGUCGUAAGACAGCUCGGUCCAUAUCUACAGCGGGCGUAAUACAAUUGAGGAAAGCUAAUCCUAGUACGAGAGGACCGGAUUGGGCAAACCUCUGGUGUACCAGUUGUUCUACCAAGAGCACCGCUGGGUAGCUACGUUUGUUUCGGAUAAGCGCUGAAAGCAUAUAAGCACGAAGCCGAAGCCAAGAUUAGUUGUAUAUGCCCUCCUAGGAGACUACUAGGUUGAUAGGCGGCAGGUGUAAGCAUAGCAAUGUGUUCAGCCGAGUCGUACUAAUGGG
rnacentral:rRNA from 2 species